UGUAGAUAUGGGUGGUGGAGAUGCAGCGACCACAGGAGGUCUGUUAACUUCCUGUUCGGGUUUCACAUCUGUCUUGUCAGCAGCACCAGAGACACAAACUUGAAAAACAAAAACAAAAAAAAGCAACAACUGCUAUUUCCAGUGCUGUACUAUUAUUCGGAUGCAUGUACUUGAUUAAAUUGUUUUAAUCAAGUACAUACAGGGUUCUUCCCGUUCAUCUCGUCCCACCCCUAGUGCUGAUAAUGUAGUGGGCUGAUCUGGACAGAAAAUGCCAGGGCUGAAUUUCUGUCCCAGUCCACCCCCCUGACUGAUAUGUAUUUCGAGCUAGCUAUCACAAAAAUAGACUGGACUCUGAGGUUUUGCUAACUUAGUGUAACCUGUUGGAAGGUAACGACGAUAGCCAUCAGCACAAAGUUACAUUAACUUUGGCAGAUUUUGACAUUGAUUUAACAAAAUCUAUUUCAAUGACAGUCCAGUACUGCGUGGGCUAUGUUAACGUUGUUAACAUGGUGGUAACCUACGCAGUUAACUUAACAAGUAACAGUAUUUGAUUUGGUACAAUUCUUCAUAUCAAACAUUACAUAAGCAAGCUUACCUGAUCGUAUGGGUCAAGGGUCCAGAAAUGAGAUGUGUCCUGUGCGGUACGUUGGUCUACCACCCGAUGAUCUCCCGGUCAACCAAAAAUGUAUGGAUUUUCCAUCAUAUCUCCCUACUCCCGGUCAACUAUAUAUCGAUGCAUUUUCAAUCAUAUUUCGAUGCAUUUUUCAAUCAUAAUUCCCAGUCAACUAUAUGUCGAUGCAUUUUCAAUCAAUAUUUGUUCAAUGUUGGCUUGCUGUCUGGGAUGUCUCCAACAUGUAUCUGUCCCCCACUAACAUGUUUCCAACAUGUACAGGUAUAUGUCCCCUACUAACAUGCAUCUGUCCCCUAUUAACAUGUCUCCAACAUUUAUCUGUCCUCAACUAGCAUGUCUCCAACAUCUAUGUUCCCUACUAACAUGUCUCCAACAUGUGUCUGUCCCCUACUCACACGUCUCCAACACCUUCGGUAUCACCUCAUCCACAGGGAGUGCUGUAACUCUCAGUCAGAGUUAGACACUCUGCUGCCCUGAUGGAAGAUUCAUCAGCCUCAUUUUGCGAGUCAUAAUUAAUUAAUCCUUCGAGGAAAAGUAUCCCCAGAAGUCAGAAGUAAGAGCGUGGAAAAUGUCUGAGCUGAGAGCUCAGUAUGAGAGGUCUACGCGUGUCUUCACACACUCAUUUACAGGCCAGCAACGUGCAAAUGAAUGCUCACUUAAGAUU
ensembl:lncRNA